UUUUUUUUUUUUUUUUUUUUUUUUUUUUUCUU
rnacentral:ribozyme from 15 species